rnacentral:tRNA from 1 species
AGAAAGUUAGUCUAACUAAGACAGUUGAUUUCGACUCAACAGAUUAUAGCCCUAACCCUAUAACUUUCUU